GGUUAAGCGACUAAGCGUACACGGUGGAUGCCCUGGCAGUCAGAGGCGAUGAAGGACGUGCUAAUCUGCGAUAAGCGCCGGUAAGGUGAUAUGAACCGUUAUAACCGGCGAUUUCCGAAUGGGGAAACCCAGUGUGACUCGUCACACUAUCAUUAACUGAAUCCAUAGGUUAAUGAGGCGAACCGGGGGAACUGAAACAUCUAAGUACCCCGAGGAAAAGAAAUCAACCGAGAUUCCCCCAGUAGCGGCGAGCGAACGGGGAGGAGCCCAGAGCCUGAAUCAGCAUGUGUGUUAGUGGAAGCGUCUGGAAAGGCGCGCGAUACAGGGUGACAGCCCCGUACACAAAAGCGCAUGUGCUGUGAGCUCGAUGAGUAGGGCGGGACACGUGGUAUCCUGUCUGAAUAUGGGGGGACCAUCCUCCAAGGCUAAAUACUCCUGACUGACCGAUAGUGAACCAGUACCGUGAGGGAAAGGCGAAAAGAACCCCGGCGAGGGGAGUGAAAAAGAACCUGAAACCGUGUACGUACAAGCAGUGGGAGCACCCUUUUGGGUGUGACUGCGUACCUUUUGUAUAAUGGGUCAGCGACUUAUAUUCUGUAGCAAGGUUAACCGAAUAGGGGAGCCGGAGGGAAACCGAGUCUUAAUUGGGCGUUAAGUUGCAGGGUAUAGACCCGAAACCCGGUGAUCUAGCCAUGGGCAGGUUGAAGGUUGGGUAACACUAACUGGAGGACCGAACCGACUAAUGUUGAAAAAUUAGCGGAUGACCUGUGGCUGGGGGUGAAAGGCCAAUCAAACCGGGAGAUAGCUGGUUCUCCCCGAAAGCUAUUUAGGUAGCGCCUCGUGAAUUCAUCUCCGGGGGUAGAGCACUGUUUCGGCUAGGGGGCCAUCCCGGCUUACCAACCCGAUGCAAACUGCGAAUACCGGAGAAUGUUAUCACGGGAGACACACGGCGGGUGCUAACGUCCGUCGUGAAGAGGGAAACAACCCAGACCGCCAGCUAAGGUCCCAAAGUCAUGGUUAAGUGGGAAACGAUGUGGGAAGGCCCAGACAGCCAGGAUGUUGGCUUAGAAGCAGCCAUCAUUUAAAGAAAGCGUAAUAGCUCACUGGUCGAGUCGGCCUGCGCGGAAGAUGUAACGGGGCUAAACCAUGCACCGAAGCUGCGGCAGCGACGCUUAUGCGUUGUUGGGUAGGGGAGCGUUCUGUAAGCCUGUGAAGGUGUGUCGUGAGGCAUGCUGGAGGUAUCAGAAGUGCGAAUGCUGACAUAAGUAACGAUAAAGCGGGUGAAAAGCCCGCUCGCCGGAAGACCAAGGGUUCCUGUCCAACGUUAAUCGGGGCAGGGUGAGUCGACCCCUAAGGCGAGGCCGAAAGGCGUAGUCGAUGGGAAACGGGUUAAUAUUCCCGUACUUGGUGUUACUGCGAAGGGGGGACGGAGAAGGCUAUGUUGGCCGGGCGACGGUUGUCCCGGUUUAAGCGUGUAGGCUGGUUUUCCAGGCAAAUCCGGAAAAUCAAGGCUGAGGCGUGAUGACGAGGCACUACGGUGCUGAAGCAACAAAUGCCCUGCUUCCAGGAAAAGCCUCUAAGCAUCAGGUAACAUCAAAUCGUACCCCAAACCGACACAGGUGGUCAGGUAGAGAAUACCAAGGCGCUUGAGAGAACUCGGGUGAAGGAACUAGGCAAAAUGGUGCCGUAACUUCGGGAGAAGGCACGCUGACACGUAGGUGAAGUGAUUUACUCAUGGAGCUGAAGUCAGUCGAAGAUACCAGCUGGCUGCAACUGUUUAUUAAAAACACAGCACUGUGCAAACACGAAAGUGGACGUAUACGGUGUGACGCCUGCCCGGUGCCGGAAGGUUAAUUGAUGGGGUCAGCGCAAGCGAAGCUCCUGAUCGAAGCCCCGGUAAACGGCGGCCGUAACUAUAACGGUCCUAAGGUAGCGAAAUUCCUUGUCGGGUAAGUUCCGACCUGCACGAAUGGCGUAAUGAUGGCCAGGCUGUCUCCACCCGAGACUCAGUGAAAUUGAACUCGCUGUGAAGAUGCAGUGUACCCGCGGCAAGACGGAAAGACCCCGUGAACCUUUACUAUAGCUUGACACUGAACAUUGAGCCUUGAUGUGUAGGAUAGGUGGGAGGCUUUGAAGUGUGGACGCCAGUCUGCAUGGAGCCGGCCUUGAAAUACCACCCUUUAAUGUUUGAUGUUCUAACGUGGACCCGUGAUCCGGGUUGCGGACAGUGUCUGGUGGGUAGUUUGACUGGGGCGGUCUCCUCCUAAAGAGUAACGGAGGAGCACGAAGGUUGGCUAAUCCUGGUCGGACAUCAGGAGGUUAGUGCAAUGGCAUAAGCCAGCUUGACUGCGAGCGUGACGGCGCGAGCAGGUGCGAAAGCAGGUCAUAGUGAUCCGGUGGUUCUGAAUGGAAGGGCCAUCGCUCAACGGAUAAAAGGUACUCCGGGGAUAACAGGCUGAUACCGCCCAAGAGUUCAUAUCGACGGCGGUGUUUGGCACCUCGAUGUCGGCUCAUCACAUCCUGGGGCUGAAGUAGGUCCCAAGGGUAUGGCUGUUCGCCAUUUAAAGUGGUACGCGAGCUGGGUUUAGAACGUCGUGAGACAGUUCGGUCCCUAUCUGCCGUGGGCGCUGGAGAACUGAGGGGGGCUGCUCCUAGUACGAGAGGACCGGAGUGGACGCAUCACUGGUGUUCGGGUUGUCAUGCCAAUGGCACUGCCCGGUAGCUAAAUGCGGAAGAGAUAAGUGCUGAAAGCAUCUAAGCACGAAACUUGCCCCGAGAUGAGUUCUCCCUGAGACUUAAAGUCUCCUGAAGGAACGUUGAAGACGACGACGUUGAUAGGCCGGGUGUGUAAGCGCAGCGAUGCGUUGAGCUAACCGGUACUAAUGAACCGUGAGGCUUAACCUU
rnacentral:rRNA from 1 species